AUAUCAAUAAGCGGAGGAAAAGAAACCAACAGGGAUUGCCCCAGUAACGGCGAGUGAAGCGGCAACAGCUCAAAUUUGAAAUCUGGCCCCAGGCCCGAGUUGUAAUUUGUAGAGGAUGCUUUUGGCAACGCGCCUUCCGGGUUCCCUGGAACGGGACGCCGCAGAGGGUGAGAGCCCCGUAUGGUCGGACGCCGCGCCUCUGUAAAGCACCUUCGACGAGUCGAGUAGUUUGGGAAUGCUGCUCAAAAUGGGAGGUAA
rnacentral:rRNA from 1 species